CAAACUAUAGCAUAUAUAAUGCUUUUUAUUUACAUUAAAAAAAAAAAAUACAAUUUUUUAGUUUGA
rnacentral:tRNA from 1 species